rnacentral:rRNA from 1 species
AACGUACGCUGGCGGCACGCCUAACACAUGCAAGUCGAACGAAGUAGCAAUACUUAGUGGCAGACGGGUGAGUAACAUGUAGGUAUCUGCCCUUUGGCCUGGAAUAACACGAGGAAACUUGUGCUAAUACCGGAUAAGUCUUUACGGAGAAAGCUUUAUGCACCAUUGGAUGAGCCUGCACUUGAUUAGUUUGUUGGUGGGGUAAUGGCCUACCAAGACUGUGAUCAAUAGCUGAUUUGAGAGGAUGAUCAGCCACAUUGGGACUGAGACACGGCCCAAACUCCUACGGGAGGCAGCAGUGGGGAAUCUUGCACAAUGGAGGAAACUCUGAUGCAGCGAUGCCGCGUGAGUGAAGAAGGCCCUUGGGUUGUAAAGCUCUUUCGUCGGGGAAGAAAAUGACUGUACCCGAAUAAGAAGGUCCGGCUAACUUCGUGCCAGCGGCCGCGGUAAUACGAAGGGACCUAGCGUAGUUCGGAAUUACUGGGCUUAAAGAGUUCGUAGGUGGUUGAAAAAGUUAGUGGUGAAAUCCCAGAGCUUAACUCUGGAACUGCCAUUAAAACUUUUCAGCUAGAGUAUGAUAGAGGAAAGCAGAAUUUCUAGUGUAGAGGUGAAAUUCGUAGAUAUUAGAAAGAAUACCAAUUGCGAAGGCAGCUUUCUGGAUCAUUACUGACACUGAGGAACGAAAGCAUGGGUAGCGAAGAGGAUUAGAUACCCUCGUAGUCCAUGCCGUAAACGAUGUGUGUUAGACGUUGGAAAUUUAUUUUCAGUGUCGCAGGGAAACCGAUAAACACACCGCCUGGGGAGUACGACCGCAAGGUUAAAACUCAAAUGAAUUGACGGGGACCCGCACAAGUAGUGGAGCAUGUGGUUUAAUUCGAAGAUACGCGCAGAACCUUACCAACACUUGACAUGUUCGUCGCGACUCUAAGAGAUUAGAGUUUUCGGUUCGGCCGGACGAAACACAGGUGCUGCAUGGCUGUCGUCAGCUCGUGUCGUGAGAUGUUGGGUUAAGUCCCGCAACGAGCGCAACCCUCACUUUUAGUUGCCAUCAUUAAGUUGGGCACUCUGAAAGAACUGCCAGUGAUAAGCUGGAGGAAGGUGGGGAUGACGUCAAGUCCUCAUGGCCCUUACGUGUUGGGCUAUACACGUGCUACAAUGGUAUCUACAACAGGAAGCAAGACUGCGAAGUUAAGCAAAUCCCUAAAAGAUACCUCAGUUCGGAUUGCACUCUGCAACUCGAGUGCAUGAAGCUGGAAUUACUAGUAAUCGUGGAUCAGCGUGCCACGGUGAAUGCGUUCCCGGGUCU